rnacentral:misc_RNA from 1 species
GACUCUUGAUUGCAGCUGACAGAAACUCAUGACAGCCUGCUUUAGAUGAAGGGGGAGAGAAGGACUGGAAGAAUCUUGGAGUUGGGAAUGUCACACGUAAUUGAAGGAAGAACAAGAAAACUAUAAUUCUUCCCCUGGAGGCUGGAGUUUCCAGGAUGUCAAAAUUACCUCUGCUUGGGUGAGCUAUUUCAAGCAGCUGGGAUACCUGUGUCACUCCUGCUGUCUGCCAGUGACUGCCCAGGUGUCUGCUGGUUCCUCCCCAGGAGUAGGGAGGAACCAGGUGGGCUGGCUGGGAUGGGUGGAUAUUUAAAGACCAGGCCUUGGACGCUGCAGCACUUCUAUCUCUGCUUGAUGCCUGCUGCCACGUGGCUGGUCCUCCUCCUCCUGCUGUGGCUGAGCCUUGGGGUGAAGACAGGCAGCUGCUCCCAACCCCAGAACCUUUGCUGUCUUGGGACGGAUCACCACUGCAAGAGGGGAAGUUGCUACUGUGAUGAAUUCUGCCAUGUGGCACCAGACUGCCACCCAGACCACAGUGUCCUCUGCAACCCUGGUAACUCACAUACAGGCCCGAUUCCACCGACAGCAAAGCUGGAUGCUAUGGCUGGCAGAGGCAAACCCUUUGCCUGCACUUCAGGCCAAAGCCGGGAUGUGGCCUAGAUGGUUCCUAAGGUCCCUGACAAUCCUGAGAUCUUGCAUCUUGUCUAUUUCAGGUCAAAGCUUCUCAGAUGACCAAGAUGGUGCUGCA